UUCGCCCUUAGAGUUUGAUCCUGGCUCAGGACGAACGCUGGCGGCGCGCCUAACACAUGCAAGUCGAACGGAGCUUAGAGAGCUUGCUUUUUAAGCUUAGUGGCGAACGGGUGAGUAACGCGUGAGUAACCUGCCCUAGAGUGGGGGACAACAGUUGGAAACGACUGCUAAUACCGCAUAAGCCCACGGUACCGCAUGGCACUGAGGGAAAAGGAUUUAUUCGCUUUAGGAUGGACUCGCGUCCAAUUAGCUAGUUGGUGAGGUAACGGCCCACCAAGGCGACGAUUGGUAGCCGGACUGAGAGGUUGAACGGCCACAUUGGGACUGAGACACGGCCCAGACUCCUACGGGAGGCAGCAGUGGGGGAUAUUGCACAAUGGGGGAAACCCUGAUGCAGCGACGCCGCGUGAAGGAUGAAGUAUUUCGGAUUGUAAACUCCUGUUGUUGAGGAAGAUAAUGACGGUACUCAACAAGGAAGUGACGGCUAACUACGUGCCAGCAGCCGCGGUAAAACGUAGGUCACAAGCGUUGUCCGGAAUUACUGGGUGUAAAGGGAGCGCAGGCGGGAAGACAAGUUGGAAGUGAAAUCUAUGGGCUCAACCCAUAAACUGCUUUCAAAACUGUUUUUCUUGAGUAGUGCAGAGGUAGGCGGAAUUCCCGGUGUAGCGGUGGAAUGCGUAGAUAUCGGGAGGAACACCAGUGGCGAAGGUGGCCUACUGGGCACCAACUGACGCUGAGGCUCGAAAGUGUGGGUAGCAAACAGGAUUAGAUACCCUGGUAGUCCACACCGUAAACGAUGAUUACUAGGUGUUGGAGGAUUGACCCCUUCAGUGCCGCAGUUAACACAAUAAGUAAUCCACCUGGGGAGUACGACCGCAAGGUUGAAACUCAAAGGAAUUGACGGGGGCCCGCACAAGCAGUGGAGUAUGUGGUUUAAUUCGACGCAACGCGAAGAACCUUACCAAGUCUUGACAUCCUGCGACGAUGCUGGAAACAGUAUUUUCCUUCGGGACGCAGAGACAGGUGGUGCAUGGUUGUCGUCAGCUCGUGUCGUGAGAUGUUGGGUUAAGUCCCGCAACGAGCGCAACCCUUACUGUCAGUUACUACGCAAGAGGACUCUGGCAGGACUGCCGUUGACAAAACGGAGGAAGGUGGGGAUGACGUCAAAUCAUCAUGCCCUUUAUGACUUGGGCUACACACGUACUACAAUGGCGUUAAACAAAGAGAAGCAAGACCGCGAGGUGGAGCAAAACUCAGAAACAACGUCCCAGUUCGGACUGCAGGCUGCAACUCGCCUGCACGAAGUCGGAAUUGCUAGUAAUCGUGGAUCAGCAUGCCACGGUGAAUACGUUCCCGGGCCUUGCACUCACCGCCCGUCA
rnacentral:rRNA from 1 species